rnacentral:rRNA from 1 species
UACGUAGGGGGCAAGCGUUGUCCGGAAUUACUGGGCGUAAAGGGCUCGUAGGCGGCCAACUAAGUCAGACGUGAAAUCCCUCGGCUUAACCUGGGAACUGCAUCCGAUACUGGAUGGCUUGAAUCCGGGGAGAGGGAUGCAGAAUUCCAGGUGUAGCGGUGAAAUGCGUAGAUAUCUGGAGGAAUACCGGUGGCGAAGGCGGCAUCCUGGACCGGCAUUGACGCUGAUGAGCGAAAGCUAGGGGAGCAAACGGGG